AUCAAGCUGACGAGUCCCAAGUAGGACGAAACGCGCGUCCUGGAU
rnacentral:hammerhead_ribozyme from 1 species